UCAAACUUGGUCAUUUAGAGGAAGUAAAAGUCGUAACAAGGUUUCCGUAGGUGAACCUGCGGAAGGAUCAUUAUUGAAUAAAUCUGGCGUGGUUGUAGCUGGCUCUCAGGAGUAUGUGCUCGCCCGUCACCUUUAUCUUUCCACCUGUGCACACACUGUAGUCCUGGAUACCUCUCGUCGCAAGGCGGAUGCAGAGGCUGCUGGCUCGCAAUGGGCCCAAGCUUUCUCUGAAUUUCCAGGUCUAUGAUUUUUACACACCCCAAAUGAAUGUCCUAGAAUGUUUUCAUUUAAGGCCUUUGUGCCUAUAAAACCUAUACAACUUUCAGCAACGGAUCUCUUGGCUCUCGCAUCGAUGAAGAACGCAGC
rnacentral:misc_RNA from 1 species